rnacentral:rRNA from 1 species
AGUCGAGCGAGCUUGCCUAGAUGAGUUUGGUGCUUGCACCAGAUGAAACUAGAUACAAGCGAGCGGCGGACGGGUGAGUAACACGUGGGUAACCUGCCCAAGAGACUGGGAUAACACCUGGAAACAGAUGCUAAUACCGGAUAACAACACUAGACGCAUGUCUAGAGUUUAAAAGAUGGUUCUGCUAUCACUCUUGGAUGGACCUGCGGUGCAUUAGCUAGUUGGUAAGGUAACGGCUUACCAAGGCAAUGAUGCAUAGCCGAGUUGAGAGACUGAUCGGCCACAUUUGGACUGAGACACGGCCCAAACUCCUACGGGAGGCAGCAGUAGGGAAUCUUCCACAAUGGACGCAAGUCCGAUGGAGCAACGCCGCGUGAGUGAAGAAGGGUUUCGGCUCGUAAAGCUCUGUUGGUAGUGAAGAAAGAUAGAGGUAGUAACUGGCCUUUAUUUGACGGUAAUUACUUAGAAAGUCACGGCUAACUACGUGCCAGCAGCCGCGGUAAUACGUAGGUGGCAAGCGUUGUCCGGAUUUAUUGGGCGUAAAGCGAGUGCAGGCGGUUCAAUAAGUCUGAUGUGAAAGCCUUCGGCUCAACCGGAGAAUUGCAUCAGAAACUGUUGAACUUGAGUGC